UCUUUUCUACAAGAUGGGAUUCUGGAUAAUGGGGAGAUUAAUAGUGCUUUCCAAAGAAGCCUCCAUCACCUAGACCGUUCUCAAUUGGUCAUGUUUCCUGUAUUGCAAAAUAUUCGUUUCAAAAGGCUUGAUAGAACAGUGGGCCACUUCUUCCUUCUAGUCUUGAACCUAAGGGAAGAAAGGUUUGAAGUUCUCGAUUCUAUGAGGUCUCUCGCUGACAUUAACUUGAAGACAUGCUGCAACAAUUUGAUCACUGCAAUUAAGGAACUUUGGCACAAACAUUACCCUAAUUCAAGGAAGAAUAUUGACAAGUACCAACUGAUUGAUAUUAAUGUUCCAUUGCAGUCAAACAAUCAUGACUGCGGGUUCCACAUGCUAAUGCACUGUGAACACUGGAAUGGUAUUAACAUGCCACAGUUUAAGGAAAAAGAUAUGCCAACUAUUCGAAAGAUGCUGACAUACAAAUGGCUCCAACAUCCAGAAAACAAUAUUGCAUGGAGAUGUAAAAUGAAUAUUUGCUAGGUAUGCAUUCCCACUAAGAAACUGUUUUUAUUUUUUUUUAGUUUGUCCGGGCAUCUCUGUGCAUUGUGAUCAUAUGAUUUGCAAAUGCUGCACUUAUUCUUCCUCUUCGCUUGACCAUUCAUCCCUUUUUUGUGUGCCUUCUCCUUCCUGCGCCCUUUAGCUUUUGAUUUUGGGGGGUUCGCUACACUUGAUGUUUUUGGACCAGCCACUGCACCUACAAUGUGAAAUGCAAUAAGCAACUAAUCAAUCUAGUACAAGCGUACAAAGAUGAAGUAAAGCAGAAUAUAGUGUCUA